ensembl:lncRNA
UUAAAAUAAUAAACAGACGACAUAUUUAACAAUAAUAAUAACACAAUCAUUGGGAAAACAUCUGAAGCAGUUCCUGAGAAGAGAGAAAAGAAGAAAAGUUAUUAACAUGUUAAUGUUGUUAGUGUGUCUGUGUGUACAUCUAAUUGUUAGUGUGUCUGUGUGUACAUCUAAAUGUUAGUGUGUCUGUGUGUACAUCUAAAUAUUAUUAUGUCUUUGUGUACAUCUAAAUAUUAGUGUGUGUCUUUGUUUAGUACCAAAUGUUAGUGUGUCUGUGUGUACAUCUAAAUGUUAGUGUGUCCCGAUGACGUGGCGUCCUGAUGGCGUCCUGUUGGUCUGCAGACAAGGAGAAGAGACGUGAGGAGGAUCAUCAGGAUGUGUCCGUGUGUACAUCUAAUUGUUAUUGUGUCUUUGUGUACAUCUAAAUAUUAGUGUGUGUCUUUGUUUAGAACCAAAUGAUAGUGUGUCUGUGUGUAUAUCUAAUUGUUAUUGUGUCUUUGUGUACAUCUAAAUAUUAUGUGUGUCAUUGUUUAGAACCAAAUGAUAGUGUGUCUGUGUGUACAUCUAAUUGUUAGUGUGUCUGUGUGUACAUCUAAAUAUUAAUGUGUCUUUGUGUACAUCUAAAUGUUAGUGUGUGUCUUUGUUUAGAACCAAAUGUUAAUGUGUCUGUGAGUACAUCUGUGUGUGUGUGUGUGUGUGUGUGUGUGUGUGUUAGAUCUGGAUUUGCUCCUGAGGGGUUGACGCGGCGUCCUGAUGGCGUCCUGAUGGAAUCCUGAUGGCGUCCCGAUGACGUGGCGUCCUGAUGGUGUCCUGAUGACGUGGCGUCCUGAUGGCGUCCUGUUGGUCUGCAGACAAGGAGAAGAGACGUGAGGAUGGUCAUCAGCACGUGUCAGUGUGUACAUCUAAUUGUUAGUGUGUCUGUGUGUAGAUCUAAUUGUUAGUGUGUCCGUGUGUACAUCUAAUUGUUAGUGUGUCUGUGUGUAGAUCUAAUUGUUAGUGUGUCUGUGUGUACAUCUAAAUAUUAAUGUGUCUUUGUGUACAUCUAAAUGUUAGUGUGUGUCUUUGUUUAGAACCAAAUGUUAGUGUGUCUGUGUGUACAUCUAAUUGUUAGUGUGUCUGUGUGUGGAUCUAAUUGUUAGUGUCUGUGUGUACAUCUAAUUGUUAUGUCUUUGUGUA